rnacentral:rRNA from 1 species
UACGUAGGGUGCAAGCGUUGUCCGGAAUUAUUGGGCGUAAAGAGCGUGUAGGCGGCCAGAUAGGUCCGUUGUGAAAACUCGAGGCUCAACCUCGAGACGCCGAUGGAAACCAUCUGGCUAGAGUCCGGAAGAGGAGAGUGGAAUUCCCGGUGUAGCGGUGAAAUGCGCAGAUAUCGGGAAGAACACCCGUGGCUAAGGCGGCUCUCUAGUACGGUACUGACGCUGAGACGCGAAAGCGUGGGGAGCGAACAGG